CCUGCGUUGAAAAAAUUCAUUAAUUAAACAACAUUCAUGACAUGACACAUUUCACUAUUAAACAUCUUAAAAUACAUUUUAUUCAUAUAGCAAGGUCAUGAAGAUACUGUAAGACUCCGUUUAUGCAGCUUCCUUUAUCGAAGAUGUGCGAAGCUGUAAUGCUAUCGGGUGAUGAUAGAGUGAGUGAUAUUCGGGAAUAAAUCGGAGUCGGUUCGGUCGUGAAUCGGUACACAAUUGUGAACCGGUGUAUUUUCAUGACGAAUUUCCCUAUAAAGUUAAGUGAAUUGUUGUUGAGUGUUUUUAUUAUUAAUUUGUCUUAUGUUCGAGGUUUUGGAUCAUUUAGGAUCCUUCGAUUGUACCUAUCUUUACGUUCGGUCAAGGCCGACGGUCUUCAGCGACCAUCAUCAUGUUACGAAGUCGGUGCCGACUUCUUAUCGAGUGCACGUGUCGUCAUACGAUCUUCCAUGUGCUAUCUCUGACCAGACCAGAUCAUUGUUGACUCCAUGGGAUAUUUUCAAGAUUACCCGCAUGUGGCUCAAGUGCGAAUAAAACCGCACUCGUAUCAGCAGAACAACAACGCUUCCCCAAUGGCGGCCGAUCAAUGAACAAGAACCUGGCGUUAUUUAACUUUUUUCAAGAGUUAUAUUCCCCUCGGGGAGCUAUGAUUCCCAUACUGGGAGCUAAUAAACUGCUUAGGGAGUGCAAAAAAUUUUCCCUUAUGGGAGCUAUAACUGAACUCCUUAGGGAGUGCAAAAACUAUUCCCUUCUGGGAGCUAUUUCCUCUAAAUUAGACUUAUCUUACACAUUCAGAAAUCCUUUAUAAUCAAUAUCUUUGUAAAAUGCAUUUACACCUAUGUUUGUUUCAUGUCCAUAUGACAAAAAAAUCAAUAUAUUCCAGAUUGUUCAAAGACAAGUAAUAUACCCAUGUCAUGUCAACUAUGGCUGUAUGUAGUUUAGCCUCCUUAUAGCAGUCAUGUUCAGCUUCCUGUGUCAUUCAGUUUUACAUUGUGAUUUUAAUAAAGGAGAAGCGGCAUGUA